GAUUGAGUAAUAGUGUGAAGACCUCAGUUCAAGAACCUUCCAGAAAUGGUAAAAAAACAUUCAAUAUAGGCGCAACAUUAUUAGUGAGAAUGCGAGCACCAAAACAGGAGGCUGAAGAGGUUGGAAACAAACCUUUCAAAGAAAGCUUUUUGCGACAAGAUGGCGGCAGCUGCCCAGGGCAGGAGAAGUGGUGGUGGCGGAGGCAGUAGUGGGGCCAGCGGUGGUCUCAGCUGCGUGACAGGCAGUAGCCUCAGUGGCAUGUUGGCUAAGUGGAAGACGGAUGAGAAGCAUGGAAAAACUGACAAGUGGGAUGGAUCCGCUAUGAAAAACUCUGGAUGAUUCUGCCAGAAAGGAAAGAAGAUGUGGGGGAAAAAAAAAAACCUUUCAAGAGUUUUAAGCAGAAGACGGACAUGAUUCUGUCAUUGUCAAAGUACCCUUCACCCAACGUGUUUACCAGUUCCCUCUAUUUAUUCACCUGCUUUCCACAUCCAAAUCAACAUUAAAGUUCCAACUUUUCACAGUA